UCCGCAGACCGAUGGGUAGGAACGUGCAGCCGGAUUGGCCAACCCUAUCCAUCAAUCCCCUCUGCCUCCAGCCUCGCAUCCCUCCUCCCCUGCCCCCGUCCACAGUGAUGAGCGGCUAGGCCGCAUCCACAAGAGUAGCAUAUGGGCCAUUGCAGCCACCAUCGGGAGCGGCCGCCUCCUCUCCUCUCCACCACCAGUGAAUGGCGCGGUGUAGGGAGCAUCGAGUGCCGCCAAGCACGGCCAACGACCUGGACGCGUAUGGCAGCGGUGGCGGCGUUCGCCUCGGCAAUUUCGACAUCCGAGUCAAGGAGUGGUGGCGCAAGAACACGACGCUGCACGGGAUCGAACCAGAGGGAUGUGAUCCACCUUGUCCAGAGGGUCAUUUAUGUGUGUGGUUAGGGCUUGUGUAAGUACAAAAGAAGCAGCAGAAGAUUGAAAACAUCAUUCUGUGAGCUGCAUGUAUGUGAUGAUUUUGUGACCAUCAGGAUUGAUUUCUUUUAUUAAGUGGCUCAUCAGAUGUUUGAGAAAAUGGCCAUAAGAGGAUUGAUGAAACUUGAAAGAGGUUGUGGUAUUUCUAGCAGGUUGAGAGGAUAACUCGUGACAGGGUUCAGGUGAAGUGGGAAAGACCCACCAUGACCUGCGAGUUAAUGGUUUUUGGGGGUAUGUACAAUUUAAUGUGUUAUCUCCAUUCAUAGUUUAGUGUACCUAGCUGUUUUCUUUGCAUGUUGAAUAAUAUUGUUGGUACCAGUAGGCCUUUUCCCAGCCCCAGGUAAAUAUCAUGAGGCUACCUGUAAGUUGGAAUCCUACAGCUGCCACCCAUGGCUCAUUUCAAUUAGUAAUUUCAGAGUUAAUUUUCCUGUUGGAGGUGAGAUUUCUAUUGCCGUUUCUACAGCAUGAAUGUUCGGUUUCUAUCAUGGCCAUGGUGUUCAUGUAUGUUUGGAAGAAAACAUAUUCCAUCUUCCUAUCUUAAUAAAACCAGAACCAUCCAUAUAAUAGUCACUUGUGCCACAACAGUUUAGGUUCACAGAGUUUCAAAUUUCUAGCUACACAUAUUUCAUAAGUAUCCACAUCACUAUGGUAUGCAGCAAAAUGAAUACAAUUUGAUAUGGUGCUAUCAACAUGUUCCUUGCAAUAAGUUCUGCUUCUGCUAAUAUACUGCAGCAAACAAUGUUCUAUAUUUAACAAAAUUGCCUAGAUGAUGAUAUGAUCUUUGACAGUGAUUGAUGAUACAUCAAGGAUUACGAAGUUCUGCUUUUCCUAAUAUACUGCAGGAAACAAUGUUGUAUAUUUAAUUUUUUUGCUGAGAUGACGAUAUCUUUGACAGUGAUUGAUGAUACAUCAAGGAUUACGAAGUUCUGCUUCUCCUAA